GAUCCAAUAAAUUUGAUUUUGCAAAAUUUAAUAAAUUUGUUUGAUUUUGAAAAUCACGGUGGUUAGUCCGAUGAUCGUUGGUGGCCGUUGACCACUGGAGAGAACGGUUAAAAUUUUUAUGUACGGUAAAAGUGUGAAAUUGAAGUAAAAUUAAUUAUUUUAAUAAUUGUUAUUAUAAGGAUAAGUACGUAAUUUUAUGUUAUUUUGCGGACGUUAGUUAGAUAUUCGAGGGCGAUAUUUAACAACCAAAAAAAAAAAGGCAAGAGUGUCCUCGUGAUCCCCUCUCACUUCUCAAAAUCGCUCACUUUCUUCUCAGUUCUCACUUCUCAUUUCUCAACACCACGUACAACCGCUACCUCCAUCGCCGCCGACUACGCUGACUCCUCCAUCUUCUCGCACACACUUAGCCGCCCAGUACUCCAUCUUCGCCCACACUGCCUCCUUCAAUUCGCCGCCCGCACUUGUCUCCAUUGAAGACCGGCGACUUCCACCACCAACCGGUGGUAUCUACCUCCUUCAUCACCAUAGACUUCCACUUAAGCAAGUCAACUCCUUUAUCUCUUCCAUUUUCAACAAUUGAGCAAGGCACAUAAUAAUUGGCCUGAGUGUUAAAAUGGAUGUCUUAGAUGUAUGGUUGCUUUCAAAUUGGCCUUUGAAGUUAACUCCUACUAGCUACUACUUGUCAUGAAGAAGGGCAGGAAAAAGGUUAAUGCAAUAACAGGACUCAUUCAUUAGCUGGAAAUCAGAAAUUUUGGUUGUAAUGAACAUGGAAUGGGCUGCUAAAUAAAGGCAGUUCAGGUUGUGAUGGAGAGGGUAGACUCUGCUCCGAAUAAUGGUAAAUUGUUAAUAUUGUGGAGUUUGGAGGUCGCAAAACAAUCAUUUUGGCAGCUUCACUAUUUAGAUUUAUCUAAUUGAGUCACUACUGUAGACGCCACUGCUGCUGGUGCUGUAGGACAUCACUGCUGCUACUGGUUGCUUCUGCAAGCAGCUCCAACUGCACAACGCUACUGCUGGCUGCUGCUACUUGUCACUACUGGUGACGUUUAAAGCUCCCGCGUGCCUGUGUCUAACUAUGCUAGGUCACUUUUUUUGUUACUGUUGUGGCUAUAUGAAAUUGUAAUAUGGUUGCUACCUAUGCUUAGUGAUGUUGUAACAUACAUGUACUCCUACCCUUGAACCAAUUGUAAUUUCUUUUCUGGGAUGAAAUUGUAAUAUUACAAUAAAUUAUUAAUGAAAAUA